GACGAACGCUGGCGGCGUGCUUAACACAUGCAAGUCGAACGGAAAGGCCCUGCUUUUGUGGGGUGCUCGAGUGGCGAACGGGUGAGUAACACGUGAGUAACCUGCCCUUGACUUUGGGAUAACUUCAGGAAACUGGGGCUAAUACCGGAUAGGAGCUCCUGCUGCAUGGGGGGGGAUGGAAAGUGUCGGCGGUUGGGGAUGGACUCGCGGCUUAUCAGCUUGUUGGUGGGGUAGUGGCUUACCAAGGCUUUGACGGGUAGCCGGCCUGAGAGGGUGACCGGCCACAUUGGGCCUGAGAUACGGCCCAGACUCCUACGGGAGGCAGCAGUGGGGAAUAUUGCACAAUGGGCGGAAGCCUGAUGCAGCAACGCCGCGUGCGGGAUGACGGCCUUCGGGUUGUAAACCGCUUUCGCCUGUGACGAAGCGUGAGUGACGGUAAUGGGUAAAGAAGCACCGGCUAACUACGUG
rnacentral:rRNA from 1 species